rnacentral:lncRNA from 1 species
GGAACAACUCUUGUUUAACAUCAGCCUAAGCCCUCUCAACCCUGCCGGUAUUGUUUUAUAUAUAUAUACAUUUUUUUUCUUUGUCGUUCGCUGCUUCUCCUUUCUUCUUGUUCUUUUGUUAAGCUGUGUCGAUCCUCAUUCACUGCAGAUAUGGAUGCUGACGCAGCUCGAAUGCUAGCCCAGGAUCUCAAGACCCACAAAAGGAAAGGUGCGCAGCAUCCUCGAGGG